rnacentral:sRNA from 1 species
AACUUACCAUAGGAACGGCAUCCUUUUUUCUGCGCGGCAGCAAAGCUGCCGCGCAGAAAAAAGAUAGAGUGGAUAGCCGGAUUAAGC